rnacentral:rRNA from 1 species
AGUGAACGCUGGCGGUAGGCCUAACACAUGCAAGUCGAACGGCAGCACAGUAAGAGCUUGCUCUUACGGGUGGCGAGUGGCGGACGGGUGAGGAAUACAUCGGAAUCUACUUUUUCGUUGGGGUUAACGUAGGGAAACUUACGCUAAUACCUCAUACGACCUACGGGUGAAAGCAGGGGAUCUUCGGACCUUGCGCGAUUGAAUGAGCCGAUGUCGGAUUAGCUAGUUGGCGGGGUAAAGGCCCACCAAGGCGACGAUCCGUAGCUGGUCUGAGAGGAUGAUCAGCCACACUGGAACUGAGACACGGUCCAGACUCCUACGGGAGGCAGCAGUGGGGAAUAUUGGACAAUGGGCGCAAGCCUGAUCCAGACAUACCGCGUGGGUGAAGAAGGCCUUCGGGUUGUAAAGCCCUUUUGUUGGGAAAGAAAAGCAGCAGGUUAAUACCCCGCUGUUCUGACGGUACCCAAAGAAUAAGCACCGGCUAACUUCGUG